rnacentral:rRNA from 1 species
UACGGAGGAUGCGAGCGUUAUCCGGAUUUAUUGGGUUUAAAGGGUGCGCAGGCUGUCGUGCAAGUCAGCGGUCAAAUGUCGGGGCUCAACCCCGGCCUGCCGUUGAAACUGCAUGGCUGGCGUGAGUGUGAGGUAGGCGGAAUGCGUUGUGUAGCGGUGAAAUGCAUAGAUAUGACGCAGAACUCCGAUUGCGAAGGCAGCUUACCAACACUUUACGGACGCUGAGGCACGAAAGCGUGGGUAUCGAACAGG